rnacentral:rRNA from 1 species
CCUACGGGUGGCAGCAGUGAGGAAUAUUGGUCAAUGGGCGUAAGCCUGAACCAGCCAAGUCGCGUGAGGGAUGAAGGUUCUAUGGAUCGUAAACCUCUUUUGUAAGGGAGUAAAGUGUGGGACGUGUCCUAUUUUGUAUGUACCUUAUGAAUAAGGAUCGGCUAACUCCGUGCCAGCAGCCGCGGUAAUACGGAGGAUCCGAGCGUUAUCCGGAUUUAUUGGGUUUAAAGGGUGCGUAGGCGGCCUGUUAAGUCAGCGGUGAAAGUCUGUGGCUCAACCAUAGAAUUGCCGUUGAAACUGGGGGGCUUGAGUAUGUUUGAGGUAGGCGGAAUGCGUGGUGUAGCGGUGAAAUGCUUAGAUAUCACGCAGAACACCGAUUGCGAAGGCAGCCUGCCAAGCCAUGACUGACGCUGAGGCACGAAAGCGUGGGGAGCAAACAGGAUUAGAUACCCGGGUAGUC